UACGUAGGGUGCGAGCGUUGUCCGGAAUUAUUGGGCGUAAAGAGCUCGUAGGCGGUUUGUUGCGUCUAUCGUGAAAACCCGCGGCUCAACUGUGGGCUUGCAGUCGAUACGGGCAGGCUGGAGUUCGGUAGGGGAGACUGGAAUUCCUGGUGUAGCGGUGAAAUGCGCAGAUAUCAGGAGGAACACCGGUGGCGAAGGCGGGUCUCUGGGCCGAUACUGACGCUGAGGAGCGAAAGCGUGGGGAGCGAACAGG
rnacentral:rRNA from 1 species